GAUGAACGCUGGCGGCGUGCCUGAUACAUGCAAGUCGAGCGAACAGAUGAGGAGCUUGCUCCUCUGACGUUAGCGGCGGACGGGUGAGUAACACGUGGAUAACCUACCUAUAAGACUGGGAUAACUUCGGGAAACCGGAGCUAAUACCGGAUAAUAUAUUGAACCGCAUGGUUCAAUAGUGAAAGACGGUUUUGCUGUCACUUAUAGAUGGAUCCGCGCCGCAUUAGCUAGUUGGUAAGGUAACGGCUUACCAAGGCGACGAUGCGUAGCCGACCUGAGAGGGUGAUCGGCCACACUGGAACUGAGACACGGUCCAGACUCCUACGGGAGGCAGCAGUAGGGAAUCUUCCGCAAUGGGCGAAAGCCUGACGGAGCAACGCCGCGUGAGUGAUGAAGGUCUUCGGAUCGUAAAACUCUGUUAUUAGGGAAGAACAAAUGUGUAAGUAACUAUGCACGUCUUGACGGUACCUAAUCAGAAAGCCACGGCUAACUACGUG
rnacentral:rRNA from 1 species